UGUAUGUUGAACCACUGUCUUUUUGAGAUGGUUUCCAGACCAAUGGUGUCGCACACCUCCAUGAAUGGACUGCACUCAUUUCCAGUGACAAAUACAGCAGCAGGUACAGAAACAUUGCAUUCCAUAAUUCCUCUAACUAAAGGCUGAGAAUGCCACAUAAAAUCAUGGCCAUCAAUGCAUUCUGUGUUGAUCCUAAGCCCAAAUCCACUUUUGGAGACUGCCGGUGGCCUCACCAAACAUUUGCCACAGCCUUCCCAAUGACACACGUGAAAGAGCUUCAACAAUUCUCCUGUCGACACAAUACUUUUUCGCUCUUGUGAGACAUUUGUUUCCUCAUCCUCAACAUCACUGAAACUUUGAUCCUCAUCACUGAUGCUUUCCUCUCUACCCAACUCAAACUUAUCUUCAUUGCAAUUAUCUUGACUCUCUUCCAUUAAACUUUCUACCUCAGACUCUUCACAGCCCUCACUGCUAAGUUCCAGAUCUUGCUGAGAUGACAGUGCCGUAGCUGGGGAGAAGCCUUCCACAGAAGGGGAUCGGUCUGGGUGCUGACACUGACUGUCGAGAGGAUGUGGACACUGCCUAUCUCCUGCUCUAUCUCCUUACAGAUGUCAGCUUCUGGGAAAUUGCUACUGGCCACCAGACGCAUGCAUGUCUGCCUAACCUGUAAACACAUUUACUGUUUUUAGGUACCCAACUGAUAUUGACAGCCUUAUCAUGGAAUACUUUGUACUCAGAUCCUGACUAUUGGUUUAAAGCAUAUAAAAGAAUCUUAUACUGAAA